AAUUUAAUGAGCUUUUAAUGGAAUGCAAUGCUCAGAGUAGUAAAUUAUUUGUUAGUUGACGAUGCAAUCAGCAUGCUGAUUAAGGUUGCUUGGUUUUUUACUAAACAUUAACUGAAUGAAAACGGUUAGUCCUUGUUGUUCUGCUUGGGGGGCUUUCGUGAAGCAAAUGGACUUUCAGAACAGAGAUUGUCAAUAAAGGCUCUGCGGAAGAUGCCACGUGCAGAUGUCACACCUAUGCAAGGAGCUUGCAGGCUGCAGCAGACUUACUUUGGAUUUAGAGAUUUUGGCCUAAUGCAGAUACUUCUGGGAAGUUCAGUCUGAGCCAUCUGCACCAGGUGCCUCAGAAAAAAAUAUGCAUUUUCAAGAUAACACUGGAAUCUUCCAGACAAGGAGCCGCUCCGCAGCAGCACAGAGAAAGCAUGGACAGAGGGCGCGAUCCUGGAAAAGAAGACCUGAAAUGUUCUUCUGAUUCAAUCACCUGAAGGAGCAUCAAUCUGUUGGAUUAUAGAUAACACAGUUUUGGACAUCAUUAAAAAUGAAAUAACAGUG